AUACGGAGGUGGCUAGCGUUGUUCGGAAUUACUGGGCGUAAAGCGCGCGUAGGCGGACCAGUCAGUCAGGGGUGCAAUCCAGGGGCUCAACCCCGGAACUGCCUUUGAUACUGCUGGUCUUGAGUUCGAGAGAGGUGAGUGGAAUUCCGAGUGUAGAGGUGAAAUUCGUAGAUAUUCGGAGGAACACCAGUGGCGAAGGCGGCUCACUGACUCGAUACUGACGCUGAGGUGCGAAAGCGUGGGGAGCAAACAGGAUUAGAAACCCCAGUAGUCC
rnacentral:rRNA from 1 species